CCUACGGGAGGCAGCAGUGGGGGAUAUUGCACAAUGGAGGAAACUCUGAUGCAGCGACGCCGCGUGAGGGAAGACGGUCUUCGGAUUGUAAAGCUCUGUCUUUGGGGAAGAAAAUGACAGUAACCAACGAGGAAGCUCCGGCUAACUACGUGCCAGAAGCCGCGGUAAUACGUAGGGAGAGAGAGUUGUCCGGAAUUACUGGGUGAAAAGGUAGCGUAGGCGGGCGAGAGAGUUGAAUGUUAAAUCUACCGGCUUAACUGGUAGCUGCGUUCAAAACUUCUUGUCUUGAGUGAAGUAGAGGCAGGUGGAAUUCCGAGUGUAGCGGUGAAAUGCGUAGAUAUUAGGAGGAACACCAGUGGCGAAGGCGGCCUGCUGGGCUUUAACUGACGCUGAGGCUCGAAAGCGUGGGGAGCGAACAGGAUUAGAUACCCUUGUAGUC
rnacentral:rRNA from 1 species